GCACAGAGCUGGGUGCCCGGAACCUCUGUUGCACGGCGGCUGGUGGAUAAAGAGGUAGUUGUCGAGGUGGUGUUGCUGUGUGGGGGGGUUGGCUGCUCCCCUCUCCGGGUCGGAUCACUGUCUUGAUGGGGCCAGGUUUUUGUUGUCUGCGGGCAACAUCUGCUUUCUUAGCUGCCUCUGUGAGGGAGGAUGGAUUGCGGUCCCUCACCCAUUCC